GCCGGGCGUGGUGGCGGGCGCCUGUAGUCCCAGCUACUCGGAGGCUGAGGCAGGAGAAUGGCGUGAACCCAGGAGGCGGAGCUUGCAGUGAGCUGAGAUCGCGCCACUGCACCCCAGCCUGGGCGACACAGCGAGACUCCGUCUNNNNNNNNNNAUGGAGUUUCGCUCUUGUUGCCCAGGCUGGAGUGCAAUGGUGUGACUUCUGCUCACUACAACCUCCGCCUCCUGGGUUCAAGCAAUUCUCCUGCCUCAG
rnacentral:SRP_RNA from 1 species